rnacentral:rRNA from 1 species
UGGGGAAUAUUGCACAAUGGGCGCAAGCCUGAUGCAGCAACGCCGCGUGCGGGAAGAAGGCCCUAGGGUUGUAAACCGCUUUCAGCAGGGAAGAAAAUGACGGUACCUGCAGAAGAAGGUGCGGCCAACUACGUGCCAGCAGCCGCGGUGACACGUAGGCACCAAGCGUUGUCCGGAUUUAUUGGGCGUAAAGAGCUCGUAGGCGGUUCAGUAAGUCGGGUGUGAAAACUCUGGGCUCAACCCAGAGAGGCCACCCGAUACUGCUGUGACUUGAGUACGGUAGGGGAGCGGGGAAUUCCUGGUGUAGCGGUGAAAUGCGCAGAUAUCAGGAGGAACACCAGUGGCGAAGGCGCCGCUCUGGGCCGUAACUGACGCUGAGGAGCGAAAGCAUGGGUAGCAAAGCAGGAUUAGAUACCCUGGUAGUCCAUGCCGUAAACGUUGGGCACUAGGUGUGGGUCUCAACCAACGAGAUCCGCGCCGUCGCUAACGCAUUAAGUGCCCCGCCUGGGGAGUACGGUCGCAAGACUAAAACUCAAAUGAAUUGA